CUCCUGCUACGUAAAUCUUAGACUAUUUUUCUUGCCCAUGAUUUUGUAUAUAAUAACUAUACAGUCAUAUUAUAUCUUUCCUAAUUGAGUACUUUAUCAACGUUUUUUUUGCGCGCCAUUUCGUUCAGUACAAAUGUAGGUACACGAUGUACGAGUCGUUAAAUAUUUACGAUCAGAUACAUGUAACCAUUUUGGUUUGAAAAUACAUGAACGCAGAGUCGUAAAUAAGAAGAAUGGUAACAUCCUUAUUAUCAUUUGUUUAUUUAUUUUUGUCUAUCUUAAUCAAAGGAAAUAUGUCUCUUAGUUAUGACAGCCAUAAGAGC
rnacentral:lncRNA from 1 species